rnacentral:lncRNA from 1 species
ACAAUCAUAAAAAAAUCACAUCAACAAAACUUUCAUUAUCGACAAAACAUCUCUUUACAUCAUAAUUGACAAUUGACAAUUGUCAUUGACACGACUAUAGCAUCAUUAUGAGAAGUCUGGACUCCUCGCAGAUCUGCUUCAGUAAAAAUGAUAUCGUUAUCGACACGCUGGCACUUAGAAGUGUUUUCGUAGUCGUCUGCCCCC